GAUGAAGAACGUAGCGAAAUGCGAUACUUGGUGUGAAUUGCAGAAUCCCGUGAACCAUCGAGUCUUUGAACGCAAGUUGCGCCCGAAGCCAUUAGGCCGAGGGCACGCCUGCCUGGGCGUCACACGUCGUUGCCCCCCCAUCUACUCCUUCGGGAUUGCGGGGGGCGGAUGAUGGCCUCUCGUGCGCCUCGUCGCGCGGUUGGCCUAAUGCCAAGUCCUCGGCGACGCACGCCACGACAAUCGGUGGUUGCGAAACCUCGGUUGCCUGUCGUGUGCGGUCGUCGCGCAUCGAGGGCUCGAAAAAAUUGCCGGGCUUCGGCUCGACUUUCAACGCGACCCCAGGUCAGGCGGGGUUACCCGCUGAAUUUAAGCAUAUCAAAAGCGGAGGA
rnacentral:misc_RNA from 1 species